rnacentral:misc_RNA from 1 species
UAGACCUCACCCACCCGGUUUUUCAUUAAGCUUGUGGUUGUGGUGCUUUGGACGUUUUUGCCAUUUAACGUGGCUCGUCUUAAAAGUCUAAGUGGAACAGCGUGAUAAGUUCUUCGCUAUCAUUCCACUCUAACAAAACACUUUAAU